rnacentral:rRNA from 1 species
GAUGAACGCUAGCUACAGGCUUAACACAUACAAGUCGAGGGGUAACGAGAGGAAAGCUUGCUUUCCUUGUUGACGACCGGCGCACGGGUGAGUAACGCGUAUCCAACCUGCCCCCAACUAGGGAAUAACCUUGCGAAAGUAAGACUAAUACCCUAUAAUUUCCUCAGAUGUCAUCUGACGAGGAAUAAAGAUUUAUCGGUUGUGGAUGGGGAUGCGUCUGAUUAGCUUGUUGGCGGGGUAACGGCCCACCAAGGCAACGAUCAGUAGGGGUUCUGAGAGGAAGGUCCCCCACAUGGGAACUGAGACAAGGUCCAAACUCCUACGGGAGGCAGCAGUGAGGAAUAUUCGUCAAUGGGCGGAAGCCUGAACCAGCCAAGUAGCGUGCAGGAUGACGGCCCUAUGGGUUGUAAACUGCUUUUAUACAGGAAUAAAGUUAGCCACGUGUGGUUAUUUGUAGGUACUGUAUGAAUAAGGACCGGCUAAUUCCGUGCCAGCCGCCGCCGUAA